rnacentral:rRNA from 1 species
GGUUAAGCGACUAAGCGUACACGGUGGAUGCCCUGGCAGUCAGAGGCGAUGAAGGACGUGCUAAUCUGCGAUAAGCGUCGGUAAGGUGAUAUGAACCGUUAUAACCGGCGAUUUCCGAAUGGGGAAACCCAGUGUGAUUCGUCACACUAUCAUUAACUGAAUCCAUAGGUUAAUGAGGCGAACCGGGGGAACUGAAACAUCUAAGUACCCCGAGGAAAAGAAAUCAACCGAGAUUCCCCCAGUAGCGGCGAGCGAACGGGGAGCAGCCCAGAGCCUGAAUCAGUGUGUGUGUUAGUGGAAGCGUCUGGAAAGGCGCGCGAUACAGGGUGACAGCCCCGUACACAAAAAUGCACAUAUUGUGAGCUCGAUGAGUAGGGCGGGACACGUGGUAUCCUGUCUGAAUAUGGGGGGACCAUCCUCCAAGGCUAAAUACUCCUGACUGACCGAUAGUGAACCAGUACCGUGAGGGAAAGGCGAAAAGAACCCCGGCGAGGGGAGUGAAAAAGAACCUGAAACCGUGUACGUACAAGCAGUGGGAGCACGCUUAGGCGUGUGACUGCGUACCUUUUGUAUAAUGGGUCAGCGACUUAUAUUCUGUAGCAAGGUUAACCGAAUAGGGGAGCCGAAGGGAAACCGAGUCUUAACUGGGCGUUAAGUUGCAGGGUAUAGACCCGAAACCCGGUGAUCUAGCCAUGGGCAGGUUGAAGGUUGGGUAACACUAACUGGAGGACCGAACCGACUAAUGUUGAAAAAUUAGCGGAUGACUUGUGGCUGGGGGUGAAAGGCCAAUCAAACCGGGAGAUAGCUGGUUCUCCCCGAAAGCUAUUUAGGUAGCGCCUCGUGAAUUCAUCUCCGGGGGUAGAGCACUGUUUCGGCAAGGGGGUCAUCCCGACUUACCAACCCGAUGCAAACUGCGAAUACCGGAGAAUGUUAUCACGGGAGACACACGGCGGGUGCUAACGUCCGUCGUGAAGAGGGAAACAACCCAGACCGCCAGCUAAGGUCCCAAAGUCAUGGUUAAGUGGGAAACGAUGUGGGAAGGCCCAGACAGCCAGGAUGUUGGCUUAGAAGCAGCCAUCAUUUAAAGAAAGCGUAAUAGCUCACUGGUCGAGUCGGCCUGCGCGGAAGAUGUAACGGGGCUAAACCAUGCACCGAAGCUGCGGCAGCGACGCUUAUGCGUUGUUGGGUAGGGGAGCGUUCUGUAAGCCUGUGAAGGUGUGCUGUGAGGCAUGCUGGAGGUAUCAGAAGUGCGAAUGCUGACAUAAGUAACGAUAAAGCGGGUGAAAAGCCCGCUCGCCGGAAGACCAAGGGUUCCUGUCCAACGUUAAUCGGGGCAGGGUGAGUCGACCCCUAAGGCGAGGCCGAAAGGCGUAGUCGAUGGGAAACAGGUUAAUAUUCCUGUACUUGGUGUUACUGCGAAGGGGGGACGGAGAAGGCUAUGUUGGCCGGGCGACGGUUGUCCCGGUUUAAGCGUGUAGGCUGGUUUUCCAGGCAAAUCCGGAAAAUCAAGGCUGAGGCGUGAUGACGAGGCACUACGGUGCUGAAGCAACAAAUGCCCUGCUUCCAGGAAAAGCCUCUAAGCAUCAGGUAACAUCAAAUCGUACCCCAAACCGACACAGGUGGUCAGGUAGAGAAUACCAAGGCGCUUGAGAGAACUCGGGUGAAGGAACUAGGCAAAAUGGUGCCGUAACUUCGGGAGAAGGCACGCUGAUAUGUAGGUGAAGUCCCUCGCGGAUGGAGCUGAAAUCAGUCGAAGAUACCAGCUGGCUGCAACUGUUUAUUAAAAACACAGCACUGUGCAAACACGAAAGUGGACGUAUACGGUGUGACGCCUGCCCGGUGCCGGAAGGUUAAUUGAUGGGGUCAGCGCAAGCGAAGCUCUUGAUCGAAGCCCCGGUAAACGGCGGCCGUAACUAUAACGGUCCUAAGGUAGCGAAAUUCCUUGUCGGGUAAGUUCCGACCUGCACGAAUGGCGUAAUGAUGGCCAGGCUGUCUCCACCCGAGACUCAGUGAAAUUGAACUCGCUGUGAAGAUGCAGUGUACCCGCGGCAAGACGGAAAGACCCCGUGAACCUUUACUAUAGCUUGACACUGAACAUUGAGCCUUGAUGUGUAGGAUAGGUGGGAGGCUUAGAAGUGUGGACGCCAGUCUGCAUGGAGCCGACCUUGAAAUACCACCCUUUAAUGUUUGAUGUUCUAACGUUGACCCGUAAUCCGGGUUGCGGACAGUGUCUGGUGGGUAGUUUGACUGGGGCGGUCUCCUCCUAAAGAGUAACGGAGGAGCACGAAGGUUGGCUAAUCCUGGUCGGACAUCAGGAGGUUAGUGCAAUGGCAUAAGCCAGCUUGACUGCGAGCGUGACGGCGCGAGCAGGUGCGAAAGCAGGUCAUAGUGAUCCGGUGGUUCUGAAUGGAAGGGCCAUCGCUCAACGGAUAAAAGGUACUCCGGGGAUAACAGGCUGAUACCGCCCAAGAGUUCAUAUCGACGGCGGUGUUUGGCACCUCGAUGUCGGCUCAUCACAUCCUGGGGCUGAAGUAGGUCCCAAGGGUAUGGCUGUUCGCCAUUUAAAGUGGUACGCGAGCUGGGUUUAGAACGUCGUGAGACAGUUCGGUCCCUAUCUGCCGUGGGCGCUGGAGAACUGAGGGGGGCUGCUCCUAGUACGAGAGGACCGGAGUGGACGCAUCACUGGUGUUCGGGUUGUCAUGCCAAUGGCACUGCCCGGUAGCUAAAUGCGGAAGAGAUAAGUGCUGAAAGCAUCUAAGCACGAAACUUGCCCCGAGAUGAGUUCUCCCUGACUCCUUGAGAGUCCUGAAGGAACGUUGAAGACGACGACGUUGAUAGGCCGGGUGUGUAAGCGCAGCGAUGCGUUGAGCUAACCGGUACUAAUGAACCGUGAGGCUUAACCUU